GCUGGGAAGAGUAAGAUAGAGGGAUGCAAAAUCAUGAGCUGCAUGGAAAAGGCGAAUAUAUAUAUAUAUGGUCAGAGGAAAGUUCAAUACUCACUACUAGCAGAAGACAAAAAUAAGAAAAAGAAAAGAAUGGUCUGAAGCUAGUAAAAUUAAGCAUGUUUUCAUUCAGUAUAUACUGUGGAAUUCAAUGCCUUAAGAUUUUUAGAAGGUCAACUGUACAAAUGGGUUUAAAACCAGACACUUUUGUGGAAGAAAGUUCCCUCAGCAGCUGUAAAUGCAACCUGUAGCACAGAUUACAGCUAAUGAGAGAAAGUGAACAGGUUUGAGGGACAUACCACUCCAAACACCACUUUGGUCUUUCAAGCAAGAAUUUUAUUUUUCAGUUUAGGGCCACAAGCAUAACCACAUAACCAUUAGUAAACUUUUUGGCUCUUUCACUGCCUGUAAAAUUGACUUAGGUGUUGGUAUCACAGAAUUUCUGAAAUACUGUCCUGUGUCUUUAAAGUAAUUGCCCUCUGCACAAUUAUUCACAGUUUGUUCGUUAACUUAUUUAAGGUGUGUGAAGACAGCCUUUAAUUAGCAAAGGGGCACAGCAGAUGCUUUUCAAAUCCAUUAAACUCUAUGCACCAAAAUCUGCUUCACAACGUUGUGCCAAUGGCCUGGAACUGAAAGUAAAUAAUUUUACAGUGAGUUAUAUUCUUUCUAUUUCAAUUGGCUGAUUAGAUGCACUAAACACUGAAAUGAUCUCCUGGCAAAGGCCAUAUUCUGUUUUUGCUGUCUACUGCUAUCUAACUUAUCUGAAUACAUGCUCAAAGUUUGUAUUUCAUGUAUGUCUGAAAAGCUUAAAAAAUGGUAGUAAUGAAUGUUUCUGCUUUCUUUUAGUCUGCCUUCUCUGACUGUUCAUGCAGAUGGUAAGCCUGCAUUUUAUCACAGUCAGAAGGUGGUUUCUUGUGUCUUUUGACAAGGAGUAUGAGGCUUUGACAAGGAGUAACAACAGCUAUAAGGUUUCCUGGUUUCCUAUCCAAGGCAAAAGGAACAUCUUGGCUUCUCCCAGGGCUGUGGACGGAGAAGGCUUGGAGGAUAAGUUCUUGAAUGCCUGGGACAUUUCAAGGGCGUGCCUAUGAUACUGUGUAAGUACCUUUUAUUCUUUAUACAUUACAUUGAACUGUGAGAUAUGCAUUCCAUAUAUUAGUAUGAGAUGCAAAGUAUUUAAGGGCCUCUUUAUGUCAUGAGCAAAUUCAGUGGCAAAUAAGGGAACCCAGCCUUGCAUUUUCAAAUCUGAGAAUACUGACUGACAAAAUAUAAAAAACUUAUUUACACAAGGCAGUCUCAACUCCGUAUCAUUGCAGGAAGAUGGACUUUGGCAGUCAUCAGGGUGGCUUUUAACCCAAAUGACUCUUUAUCUCUGUUAAAGCCAAG
rnacentral:lncRNA from 1 species